rnacentral:rRNA from 1 species
CUACGGGGUGCUGCAGUGGGGAAUAUUGGACAAUGGGGGAAACCCUGAUCCAGCAAUGCCGCGUGUGUGAAGAAGGCCUGAGGGUUGUAAAGCACUUUUGUAGAGGAGGAUGGUAGACCAGGUUAAGAGCUAGGUUUAUUGACGUUACUCUAAGAAUAAGCACCGGCUAACUCCGUGCCAGCAGCCGCGGUAAUACGGAGGGUGCAAGCGUUAAUCGGAAUUACUGGGCGUAAAGGGUGCGUAGGCGGUUAUGUAAGUUAUCUGUGAAAUCCCUGGGCUUAACCUAGGUGGGAAAGAUAAGACUGCGUAACUGGAGUGUGGUAGAGGAUAGUGGAAUUUCAGGUGUAGCGGUGAAAUGCGUAGAGAUCUGAAGGAACACCAGUGGCGAAGGCGGCUAUCUGGACCAACACUGACGCUGAGGCACGAAAGCGUGGGGAGCAAACAGGAUUAGAUACCCGAGUAGUC